rnacentral:lncRNA from 1 species
AUUUCAAUUGUAUAAUCUUUAUUUUUAGGUCAAAUUCAAAAGAAGAUUUAACUAAAACAUUAUUAUUUUUUGUAAAAUAAUAAUAUUUAGCCUAAAUAAUGUAGUUCUAUUCAAGUUUUAUCAUAAAUUAUAUUCGAAAAAAUUAUCUAAAAAAUUAAUAUUUUUAAAAAAGGUAAAAAUAUAUUUUAUAAUUCAAAAAAAUGUCACAUAUACAGAAAAAUUCAUGUGGCAGGCGAGUACACCCACAAUUUUUUUCAUAUUAGCGUCUAAGGGGUUUAGUUCUCAAAAGGUCAAAUUAAGAAUACUAAUAAUUUGAGCCAAGUUUAAAAAUAAUUUAAAGUAUUUUGCCUUUGAUUUAUUAUAUGAGAAAAUUAUGAGUCAUUAUUGUACGGAUAAUCAUCAAUUAAGUACAUCGACUGCAUAUCCCUUUCAACCAUGAAUGAAUGUCGAGUCGGAUGGGGUUGACUCGAUCUCCAUAUGCAUUUGUAACUUGUAAAUAAAACACCAUUCUUUUAUCUUUUUGUUGGUGUGCGUGUACCCUGUCAUCACAAUUACUUUUAGAAUCAGUAAUAAUUUAUCAUUUAAGGUAUGAACUAACCGAAAGAAAGAUUUUUUUAAAAUAAUAAUGGUGUGCAAAUCACGUGUUUGGAGGCAAAUUCAAAAAGAAUAUUCCCAUUACAAAGCAAAAAGAUGCUCCUCCCCAGCCCCUCUCCCUUUCCCACCAUAAAGGUGAAACAAAGUGGGAAAAAACAAAAGAAUAUAUAGUAUAAUGGAGGUUGAAUAUGCAGAAAGACAUUGGAAUUGCUUUGCUGAACGAGCAUACUCUUACGAUUUAGUGUUCGUGGGACUUCUUCUUCUCUCUAUAUAUAUAUACUAUAAGAUAAAAAUUCUAUUAGUAAUGAAGUACCAAGAUGGUACAAAAAGUACAGCCUACUACCCUUUCCUUCCUAGCAAGCAGAACUUCUUUGCUCUAUAUAUAUACUUUGCUCGGAACGAAUUUUGGCAUAAAUGAUAAAUUUAUUGUCAUGCAAUCAGGAGGUCACAAGUUCGAGCCAUGGAAAUAACAUCGCAUAGAAUAUAUGGUAGAUUACGUACAGUACAUCCUUAUGGUCUGACUUUUCCCUGAAUUCUGGAUGUAGCGGAAGCUUAAUACACCGGACUGUCAUACACUUUGCUACGAACCAAAAGUGUCUGAAUUUGAAGUUUAUUUUGCUUAGACUUAUGGUGUAAUUGGUGUAGUGGUUCAACUGACCUUAGUCCUAGCUGUAGUAAAGGUAAAUGCUAAUUUUUCCCACAUAAUUAGACUAUUGGAAUUCAAUUUCUUGUGCAUUGUAGUUAAAAGAGCUGGAGUUGUCAUAGUAUAUGGCAAUAACAAUGAAAAGGCCCUAACAAUUGGAAAAAGUAUGAAUACAAUUAGCAUUGUGUUUGAUGUCCAAUUAUAGUGCUUGACUUCUAAAAGAACUUUAACAUUGAGGAAGAACGAUUAGCAAAGCUUCAUCCAAAAGAAGCCACCUUUAGAAACACUUGUUUUUCGAAAGUGAUAAUAGGCUAAGUUGUAUAGUUUGGCUUAAAUUCAGACUUUAAUUUAAGGAUAUUUUACUGUUUUAAGUGUGUAAAUAAUAUAAAAAAUUGGCUCUAAAGGUGACUUUUGUGUUUCACAAGAGUGCAAUACUCAAAUGAAGAUUUAUGAUGGUGAUACAGGCAAAAAUUGAAACUAGUGGACGAAUUAAGGGAAUGAAGAUCGGCAUAGCAGAGGAAAACCUCACUAGCGCGGGCAUUAGUACGGCCUUAGCGCGCCCGCUCUAGCCCAGUCAUCAAAAGUAGAAUAUAACCUCACUAGUUCUGGCAUUGGCGCGGCAUUAGCGCGCCCACUCUAGCCCAGUCGUCAAAAGCAGAAUAUAAUCCACUAGCGCGGGCAUUGGCGCGCCUUAGCACGCUCACGCUAGUCCAGAUGCGGGAAAAGUUAUUUGAAGGAGCAAAUUCCGAAGUCCAAAGCAAAAGCCACACAAACUAUAAAUGGUUUAAUGCGUCCAAGAGAAGGGGAGAAUCAAUUUUGAGGGUUGAGAACAAGACAAGAAAGUGCAAAAGGCAAGGAGGUAACUUGGGCAACAAUUCGUAUCUCCCUAUUUUGUUCUUUUAUCAAUAACUAUGAAUUCUUUUGUAGUUUUCAUCAUUGUUAUGAGUAGCUAACUCUUUCAAUCUAAGGUUUUGGGCAAAACUCGUUGGGGAUGAACUAACCCUGUAUUGUGGCCCGGGCCUGAACAGGACCGGACCGGGCCCGCGGUCCUGGAGGGCCUAACGGGCCUCGUGGGCCGGUCUUGGUGGUCCUGGGCCUGGUGUUACUCUUAAGCCCAUGAUGGGCCGGUCCGCAUCAUUUAGCCCGUGAGCCCGGGACCGUUAGCCGGGCAUGGGUCGGUCCUGGCGGGCCUAAAUGGGCCAAAUGGAAAAAUUGAUACUUUUUAGAGAUUGGAUCCGCGCGGAAAGAAGAAACUUUGGAAUUGCAAAAUCACAACCGACGACAGAUGAAGCUUAUGAAGAAAUGUUAGCGGAACUUGCGGAGGAUUCGGCUUCGCCCGGAAGUGGUGAUGAACAAGAUUCUUUUCCACNNNNNNNNNNNNNNNNNNNNNNNNNNNNNNNNNNNNNNNNNNNNNNNNNNNNNNNNNNNNNNNNNNNNNNNNNNNNNNNNNNNNNNNNNNNNNNNNNNNNNNNNNNNNNNNNNNNNNNNNNNNNNNNNNNNNNNNNNNNNNNNNNNNNNNNNNNNNNNNNNNNUCUUCUUUUAGUUUUUUUCCUUUUAAUGGUGGUAUUAGUACCUUGUUAUGCUCAUUCCAUUGGGGAAAGGAAGACUAAGAAAGAUAUGUCAUUUUGAGUAAUAAAAAUUAUAAGACAUAUCGUUGAAUAUCUUUUUUCUCAAUAUUUCUUUGUCUUUUCUUCGAAUUAUUUAUAAGCUACAAUAUAUAUAUAUAUAUAUAUAUACUACAAGAAAAUAUAUACAAGAAUAUAUAUACAUAACAUACAACCUAAACUACAAAAAAAUAUAUAAGUAAUAACAUAUAUACAUAAGAUAAUAUAUAUAAGAGAAUAUAUAUACAUUAUACAUAAUAGAUACAAUAUAUAUACUACAACAAAUAUAUAUACAUAAUAUACAAUGUAUAUACUACAUGAAAUUAUAUAAGAGAAUAUAUAUAUACAUAAGAUAUACAAUAUAUACUACACGAAAAUAUAUAGGGAAUAUACAUAUAUACAAAAUAUACAAUAUAUACUAAUUAGUACAACACAAUAUACUAAUUACUAAUACAUACUACAAUAAAAUAUAUAAGGGAAUAUAUAUAUACAUAACAUACAAUAUACACUAAUUAGUACAAUACAAUAUACAAUAAAAUAUAUAUUAAAUAUACUAUACUAAUAACUAGUAUACUAUACAUAUAUUCUAUACUAGUAUAUUAUAUACUAUACUAAUAACUACUAUACAAGAUAUUGCCUUAAACAAAAAAAUUACAAAAAAGCCUGCCAGGCCCACGAAGCCCGGCCCGCUAAGCCAGGACCACAUGGGCUUAGGCCCGUCAUGGGCUGGUCUCACCCAUUAAGCCUACGAAGCCCGGGAUCUCCAGAGCUCAUGCCUACGAAGCCCAUGCCCACGAAGCCCGACCCGCGAAGCCCGUUUAGGCUCGGGCCCGGGACAAAAUACAGCAUUAGGAUGAACUGGUUAUCAUAUUAAUAUGGUUUUGAGUUAGUUGUUAAUAUCUAUUUGUUCAACUACGUUUUGAUUUUGGUUAAUUGAAAGGAUCCUUAACUAGCCGUUCCUAUUUAUUAUAUAUCUGCUUGAGAGAGAGUGCAUAUUUAGGUAGUUGUUUGAACAACAUCACUCCCGCAGUAUAGGCAAGAGUCAUAACUGAGGGCUUAGAGGUUGGAUUAGAGAUAACGAUACCUCGGGUGCGUUUUAGGUGAAUUGUAAUGUGAAUCUAGCUAGCGUAGCUUGAGAGAGUGCGUCCAGUAAAUUAUCAUAAUUACUUGAGAGAGAUUUAUGAUAGCUGGAGAGUUCAUGAUUGAUAAAGGCACUAAGUCAAAGCUAUAAGAAACAUACAACUAAGGAAAUCAACAACGGGGGAAACCAUUAUCUUAGACUUUUAUUCCAAUUGUUUACAACUACGUGUUAGUUAAUACUCAUUUUAUUGAUUCUGUUAGUUGUAGUAGUAACCAUAACAACACUUGUUAUUCAUAAAGUUUGAGGAGGUUGACUAAUAAGAACUUAGUUAAAGACUUCUCUUGAUACGUUAAUUCCCUUUGAGAUUUGACUCGGGCCAUAAUACUCUGGAUUAUAUUUGCAACGCCCGCUUAGUCUUUUAAUAGACACAGUUGAGCGUGAGUAAAUUGUGAUAUCGUUGCCAGAGAAUUAACGGUGUUAUCAAUUACAGUUGAAAGAAGUCAAAAAAAUCUUAGUGUAAUUAUUUUCUCUCUACCCACUCUUAUAUUGAAAUUUUAAAGUUUGUUGACUUCGUUGUACAGGUGCAUGCCUAGAAACUCAACGAGAACUGGUGAAGUACUCGAAGCUCUAUGAGGCGACCAAGUGAAAUCGCCAAUUUCUCUCUUAUUGAUGCCAUGGAUGUAAUUGUAGAGACUGAUGAUGAGAUGCUGACUAUUGAGGACCCCCUUGUUGCAUGUGUUGAUAAAUUUGGAUGAGGUAAAUAGAGAGGAUUUGGCGGAAUGGGUGUUGUCAUUAGAGGGUAGAGGGUUCUGGGACAGAACUCUAGAAUUUGAGCCCUUACACUUGGAAAAUAGAGAAACUCCUCCAGCCAAACCAUCUAUACAAGAACCACCAAAGUUGGAGUUGAAGCCAUUGCCAGCCCAUCUCAGGUAUGAGUUCCUUGGAUCUUGUGAGCACGUGAUGUUUGCCUCGCUCGAAAUGUUCCUAUAAAGUUUAUUAAAUUAGGGUUUUACUUUCAUUAUUUGAAUUUUUAGGAUUUAUUUGAGUGAUUUGUGUUUAUUUGCGUUUUCCUUUUAUUAUUUGAAUUGUAGGAAUUAAUUGCAUAAUUUUGUGUUUGUUUGCAUGUUGCGCAUUUUAAUUAAGUAUAACUCAUAAAAAAUACAAAAAAUUUCAUGUUUGCAUUUAGGACUUAAUUUUUCUACGUUUUUAAGUUAUUAAUUAGUUAAUGUUAAAAAUAAAGAAACAACAAAAAUGGUUCGUUAUUCCUACUUUUAAUUUAUUUUAGUUUUCUUUCAAAUUAAGAAUUAGUUAAUUUUGGAAAUGAAAUAGUAUAAUUUUUGGAGUUAAUUUGGGUCUUUUAAUUUAGCAUCAGAAAAUUUGUAUGUAUUUGUUUUUUAAAAGAAAAGAAGAAAAAAGAACAAACAAAAAGAAGAAAAGAAAACAAUUGAAAAGAAAGAGUUAAGUAGGCUAUUUGGUCGUUUGGUCCAAUCCUCACAUAAAUAAUAGUAGCCCAGACGGACCAGCAGACCCAGCCCAAUCACCCCCCUCAACACACUUCGAACUCGGAGACGCCUAAACGACGUCGUAUCUCCGUUUGGGCCAAUCCUCAGAUAAAUAAUAGUAGCCUAGACGGACCAGCAGACUCAGCCCAAUCGCCCCCCUCAACCCAGUCGGACCCUAGAGACGCCUAAUCGACGUCGUAUCUCCCAAAGUGAUUGCAACCGUCGAGGUUGAUCGAUCCAACGAACGAGAACUGGGUUGACUCUAGUAUAAAAUUUUCCAAACUCCCCCACCCACCCCUCCAAACCAUCUCCCAUAUACCCCUAAUUACGCUAGUGUAUCACCACCAUUCGCCGCCUUCCUGCCGUUUUCCACCAUCGCCGACGGCAAUACUCCAAACGACCACAGAUUCACACCACAGCUUCCCUAUCACCCCCCCCCCCUUCCCAAAUCCCAGCUUGGCUUCUCUUGAAUUUCUACCAAGCUCUUCGAAUAUACGAUUACGUGGUCGUCGUCCCCGCCGCCCAUGGUGCGAUAUUUCCAUACCCUCCCAGAUUUACACCCAUGCACCCUCUUGACCUCUCCUUCCCAUUCCUAUAACUCUUUGGGCUCGAAUGAUACCACGGCUCCUCAAAUUUUAGUUUGAACCGUCCGGCCAAAAUACAACCCUUCCCAAAAUCCACCAAAUUAACACCAUGCACUCUCCUCACACCCCUCAUCUUGAAUCCACAACCCUCAAUCCUCGAAAUUUGCCUUGGGUCUCUUCUUUGAUUCUCAUCGUUGGUUUAAGUGCUGGGAACAUCAACCCCUUUGGUUUUUCUGGGUUUAAAAUGGUUUAAAGAGGUCAAAUUAUUGUUAAUCCUCGAAUCCUUCCCCUUUAGGUCAAAUUUCAAAUUAAAAAUUGGACCGAGAACCGUAGCUGUUCAAGCUUGAGGGUAUCCUUGAUUUUGGGCUUUAAUAGCCCUUGGUCUUGUGUUUUCCAGUAGAAAACACAUGAUUAAGGGCGGUUUGACCCCAAAAAUUACCGAGAAGUUCGCCGGUGUUUGAGUUUGAAUAAGAGUUUGAGGUAUUUUGUUUUUACUUUUAUCUGCUUUUAUUUGUGAUUCCUAUUCUCAUUUUGUUGUUUUGUUCUAUUGUGAUCUUUAUGAUUAGUUUAGGACUUUGUUUCAAUUUUUGUUUCUUUUUUUACCAUAUAGUUUAGGUUUAUUAGUAAUGUGAAUAGGUUCGAUUUGAUUCCAUGUUCAUCUGCCGCUUGGUAUUUUUGAGUUGUGUUCGUUUAUUCUACAUAACGAGUUCCAGUUGUUCUUCUUGUUUGUUGGUUUAAUUUUAGUUCUUUGAUACAAUUAAAAUUCAUUAGAGGUUAAUCUCCUUUUGUUUAGCUAGGUUAGUUAUUUUGAAUUUUUGUUACAGCUAGGAAAUUUCUAGGUCAUGAGUUAAUUGACCAUGGUUAGUUGACUAGGGUAAGAGGGAGCUGAAAUUGCAACUAUAUCAUUAGGUAAUUCUGGGAAGGGGUAGGGGUAGUAUAAGUAAUCUAGCAUGAGAAGCAUGUAGUUACAAUCCCUGGAAACUUCUAGAAUAGGGGUCAAAUUGAAAUUCAGACCUUUUAUUUAUUAUAACUUGGGUAGCAAGCUAGAAAAUAAGGGACUAAGACAGUAAAUCUGAAACUAGGACAAGGACUAAUGGGGGUAAAACAAGAAAGAAGGGGUUUCCCUAAAGGCUUUAGAUAAAAGGGCACCCAAAGGCCUGGAUAAAGUUUUUUCUUAAAGGUUGAAAAAAACCCAGAAGUAGAAGUUUGCAUAGAAAGUUUAAAAAUCCAGAAAAAAUGCUACUGUUUCAUUGAAUGAUCUUAGACAUUCUUGUGAAUCUACUCCAUAUCAAAUUUCAAGCAAACUGAUAGUUAAAAUGAGCUGAGAUAUUGGUGGUAUCCAAGUGUUGGGAUCAUUUUGGUCGAAAUCUGAUCUGGUGCUGAGUGACAUUGUGUGAAUUUGAAACUGUUCAAAGUAGUGUCCUAUAACUAUUCCAGGGUUGGUUUUGUUGUUGGAUUGCUCAUGUUGCUGCUCUUCUGUUGAUUCCUUAUUUCUCUGCCUUAUUUUGCUAUUUCCAGAUAGAUUCAUUGCUUAUGCCAUGGGCUGUCAUUUGAACCAAUGGUGACGGUGAUAUCCACAACCAGGCUACUGAGUUGGGCUUCACUUAGGAGCCCAAUUAUUUUCAUGUGUGAGCCUUCUCGUGAGGACUGUUCAGCGUGUCCUCAUGGGUGUUGGCCUAUUCAUGGGCCUAACUGGAGAAUUUUCCUUCAAAUGUAACUAAGACCCAAUUUAUAAGGUGGGCCAUUGUUUUCCUUGCAUUGUUAGAAUUAAUAGAUAACAAAUAGAUAUGGCACUCCACGCAUUUUAUUUUAAGUAUCCUCUAAAAUGGACUCAAGGUGUGCCGCGCCAAAUAAAAAUCACAAAUGGAUGACCUUCUUUAGUUUUGGCUCUCAAAAAUACUUAGAGAUUUGGGACACAUUGUUUAGCGGAUUUCACGGCUUUUCCGCAAAAAUAAUAACACAUUAGUCAUUUUUAGGCGCGUCUUUAAUAAUUUUAUAUUCUUAAGUACGGGUGCGCAUUUCUGUGACCCAAAUCCAAAUCUCAACGAAGUUGAAAUAUGUCAAAAUCGCGGGUGCAUUUAUGUGAUGUGGUUCCAGACAUAUUUUAACGACGUUGCAAUUCUCUUUAAAAUAAUAAUAAUAAUAAUAAUAAUAAUAAUAAUAAUAAUAAUAAUAAUAAUAAAAGCGGUCAAAAAAUUAAAAUUGACACAUAGGUUCAUAAUUGUUUAAAAUCAGAUAAUAUAAAGCCAAAAUAUAACAGUUAAGCGACCGUGCUAGAACCAAGGAACUCGGGAAUGCCUAACACCUUCUCCCGGGUUAACAAAAUUCCUUACUCGGAUUUCUAGUUCGCGGACUGUUAACAGUGUCAUAUUUUCCUCGGUUCGGGAUUCAACCGGUGACUUGAUAUACCAUGAAUCUUUCAAAUGGCGACUCUAAAUUUUAAUAAUAAAUUUCGUCUUCGAUUUUUCUUUAAAUGGAAAAAUUCCCUUAUGCCCUUGCAGGUGUAGGGAAAAGGAGGUGUGAUAACCCUUAAAGAUUUAAAAUGCACAUAGGUUCAUAAUGGUAAAACUCAGAUAAUUUAAGCCAAAUAUAACAGUUAAGCGACCGUGCUAGAACCAUGAAACUCGGGAAUGCCAAACACCUUCUCCCGGGUUAACAGAAUUCCUUACCCGGAUUUCUGGUCCACGGACUGUAAAUAGAGUCAUUCUUUCCUCGAUUCAGGAUUCUAAACGGUGACUUCUGGCACCAUUUAUUAUCCCAAGUGGUGACUCUAAAAUCUCUUAAUUAAUUGAAUCUUAUUUCGAUUGUCCUUAAAUUGGAAAAACUCCCUUUAUCUAUGCCCUUCGCCAGGUAUUAGUAGCCAAAAAGAGGUGUGACAGCUCUAACUCCACAUUACAUGUUAUUAUCUUAUCUAGUUUGUUAGAUGUGUAGGCUCAACAACUCUUGCAGGUACUUAAGGAGUGCAAGACUGCCAUUGAGUGGACCAUGGCAAACAUAAAGGGGAUCAGCCCCGCCUACUAUAUGCACAAAGUUCUACCUCAAGAGGGACACAAACCUUCCAGGGAACACCAAAGAAGGUUGAACCCCAAUAUGAAGGAAGUGGUGAAGAAAAAAGUAAUCAAGUGGUUAGAUGCGGGAAUCAUUUUCCCAAUUUCUGACAGUAGCUAGGUUAGCCCAGUUCAAUGUGUACCUAAAAAGGGUGGCAUGACGGUGCUUAAGAAUGAUAACAACGAAUUGAUCUCUACAAGAACCAUCAUGGGCUGGAGAAUUUGCAUGGAUUAUAGAAAGCUAAAUCUAGCCACCCGAAAAGACCACUUCCCACUUCCUUCCAUUGAUCAAAUGUUAGACAGACUGGUAGGGAGGUCACACUUCUGUUUUCUAGACGGGUACUCAGGGUACAAUCAGAUUUCCAUUGCACCAGAGGACAAAGAGAAGAGCUUUUUCACUUGCCCGUAUGACAUUUAUACCUUUCGAAGGAUGCCCUUUGGCCUAUGCAACGCAUCCACCACAUUCUAACAGUGCAUGAUAGCCAUAUUCACUAACAUAGUAGAGGAUAUAAUGGAGGUGUUCAUGGAUGACUUCUCAAUGGUGGGGAACUCAUUUAAUGAGUUCCUGAUAAAUUUAACUCGUGUGUUGAAAUGGUGUAUCGAGACUAACAUGGUUCUGAAUUGGGAUAAGUGUCACUUCAUGGUACAAGAGGGUAUAGUCCUGGGGCAUCGGGUUAAGCAAAGGAAUUGAGGGGGAUCGUGCUAAAGUGGAUAUGAUAGCAAAGCUGCCUCCUCCAACUUCAGUCAAGGCAAUCAGGAGAUUCCUCGGGCAUGCCAGUUUCUACCGAAGAUUCAUAAGAGACUUCUCAAAGAUUUCCAACCCUCUCUGUAAGUUGUUAGAAAAUAUCACCCAUUCUCGUUUUCUGAUGAUUGCAAGGUGCAUUCGAGGAGCUAAAAAGAGACUGGUCACAACAUCUAUCAUAGUUUCCCUCGACUGGGAGCAGUCAUUCGAACUCAUAUGUGAUGCGAGUGAUUAUGCGGUGAGGGUAGUGCUGGGAUAGAGGAAAGACAAGUUGAUGCAUCCAAUCUACUAUGCUAGUAGAACGCUGAUGGAGCUCGCCUGAACUAUAUUGUGACGAAGAAGGAGAUGUUUCUUGUGGUGUUUGCUUUUGACAAUUUCAAAUCAUAUUUGAUUGGCUCUAAGGUAAUUGUAUACACUGAUCAUGCAUCUCUCAGGUAAUUAAUUGAUAAGAAAGAGUCUAAGCCGUGCCUGAUUCGUUGGGUGUUGCUACUGUAAAAAUUUGACCUCAAAAUUCAUGACCGUAAGGCCAUAGAGAACCAAGUCGCUGAUCAUCUAUCACGACUUGAGGGAGCUGAAAAUUCGGUUGAGGUUGAAGAUAUUCUGGAAACCUUUCGAGACGAGCAGCUGCUCGCUACUAGUCUUGAGGAAGCGCCAUGGUAUGGAGACUUUGCAAAUUACCUGGCUUGCGACAUAGUUCCCUAUGACCUCUCAUCUGUACAAAAGAAAAAGGUUUAUCGUCAUUUCCACAUGUAUUAAUGGGAUGAGCCUUAUCUGUUUAGCAUAUGUGUUGAUAACAUGAUCCGGAGGUGUGUCCCCGAGAUAGAACAAUCUUCUGUUUUGCAGGCUUGUCACGCAUUGACAUAUGGAGGACAUUUUGGAGGGGUCAGGAUAGCUUCGAAAGUGCUAGAGGCCAGAUUCUUUUGGCCAAUGAUGUUUAAAGAUGCGCACUUAUGGGUGAAGGGCUGCAAUAUGUGUCAGCGGACCGGGAACAUUUCUCGUCACCAUGAGAUCCCCAUGAAUCUGAUUCAAGAGGUAAAAGUUUUUGUUGUUUGGGGGAUUGACUUCAUUGAUCCCUUCGUCAGCUCUUUUGGCAAUAAGUACAUACUUUUUACUAUGGAUUACGUGUCCAAAUGGGUAGAAGCUACAGCAUUGCCACUAAUGAUGCAAGAGUGGUGGUGAGAGUUUUUGAAAAAGAACAUAUUCACCCGAUUUGGGACACCAAGGGCGAUUAUCAGUGACAGAGCCACUCACUAUUGUAAUAGAGCGUUCGGAGAAUUUUCUUGCAAAGUAUGAUGUAUGCCACAAGGUGGUUGCCCCUUGUCAUCCGCAAACUAGUGGGCAGGUUGAAGUGUCCAACAGAGAGAUAAAGAGAGUGCUAACCAAGACUGUGAAUGCCGCAAGAACUGAUUGGGCAAAAAAGCUUGAUGAUGAACUCUGGGUCUAUAGGACUGCAUUCAAAACACCAAUCGGUAUGUCACCGUACAAGUUGGUAUUUUGGAAUGCCUAUCACCUGCCUGUGGAGCUAGAACAUCGAGCUUGAUGGGCACUAACGCAAUUGAAUAUGGACCCUGAUGCAACUAGAGAAAAUUGACUGAUAGAGUUGCAUAAGUUGGAGGAAUUCAGAUAUCACGCCUUUGAAAGCACGAGGCUCUACAAGGAAAGAAUGAAGAGGAUGAAUUACAAGCACAUUGUGGAUAGAAAUUUCAAAGCCGGUGAUAAGGUAUUAUUGUACAAUUCAAGGUUGAGAUUGUUUCAUGUUAAGCUUAAGUCCCGAUGGUUUGGGCCGUUCAGGGUGACCGAAGUGUUCCCGUCUGGGGCUGUGGAGAUAACCAGUGAAGAUGGCCCCAACACUUUCAAGGUUAAUGGACAAUGACUCAAAAUAUAUGUGGGGAUGGAUGAAACAAAAGAGUUGUCUGUGGUUCUUCUCGAUGAACCACAGAGGUAGAGCGCAUCUUAAAUGCACUCGCCCUAUAUCGUGACGCAACGUUAAAUCAAGAUCUAGUUGGGAGGAAACCCAACAAUUAUAGUGUUUUUAGUGUAGUAUUAACAUGUGCAGGUGUUCUAGAAAAGGGGUGGGAAAAAAGCUCCCACGAAGAAAGAAAACAAAAUGAUGACACCGGGAAUGCCUAGACUAGAGCGCCCACGCUACAGCAGCGCUAAGGCCGCGCUAGUCAGGUUAAACAUUGCCCCAAAUUGGUUUCAACUAGCGCGGCCACGCUAAGCCUGUGCUAGUAGGGUUAUUCACAGCCUCCAGAUACAUGCCAAUAGUGCGCCCGCGCCGCGCUAGUAGUGUUAUUCACUGCCCUUACCUCUUUAAACUAGCGCGCCCCCGCUAUGACAGCGGUAAGGUCGCGUUAGUCCCCACAUCAGGUAAGUUCCUAUUUGUUUUUAUUUAUUCAUUUUCUAUUUAUUUUUACAUUAACCCAUUUAACCAUAGAACCUACCCAACCGCCCCACCCUCUUAUUUCCCCCACUCUCCUUCUCCUAUCACACUACUACCCAAUUAAUCCAUUCCUUCUUCUUCCUCAUCUAUUCCUCACUUCCCCUUCCUCCAUACCCAACAAUAUACAGCACCACCGUUCCUCCCCCUCACGAAGAACCUCCAUAUUUCUUUUCAUCACUCUUUACGCUUUCACUCUCAUCCCCUCUAAUGAUAUGUAUUUCUCCCUUUGAAAUUGUUUAUUUAUUUAUCUAAUUUUGUUUUUAGUUUCUUUUCCUUCUUUUUGCUUUGUAUAGUAGAAUGUAGUCUUAGUUUAGGGUAGAAACACUUGUUAGUAGUUGUAUAGGACUGAAAACUUUCAACAUAUAAAUUGUGGGGGUGAUGUGUGUUUAUUGGGUUACUGUGGUGGUGCCCCUUGUGCUGAAGGGACGAUUUGGGCUUAAAAUUAGCCAUUGUCCACCAUGUGUUUGUUAAAAUGCCUCUUUGGAGGAAAUGUUGUGACCAAUUCGGUGGUGAAGUAUGAGUAGCCACAGUUCGAUCACUCGAUUGUAUAGAACUGACGUUGGACUAUCUGUAGAUACCAUGCCUCCCCGCAAACGUCAUGCAACAGGCACCUCCUCCAGCAGCCCGGCUAAAUCCAACAUCGGGGGUGGCCUCGAAAGUCGGUCGAUUCCAGGCCUUUAAACACUCAAAAGUUUGUGUCUGCCAAGGCCCAGGAUAGGUUCAAUAAAAAAGAGGCCAAAACCAUUGUGCCGGAGUAAGCCAUAGAUCCCAACGCACUAGGGAUAACUUGUCCUAGUAUAUCCUUCGAGCUAAGACGGCGACAACUGGAAAUAUUUUUUAAGGAGCCUACAAUCGCAAAUGACAUUCUUGUACGGGAAUUCUUUGUGAACCUGUCGGGGCAUGAGAACUAUACUGUUACAGUGUGCAAGUGACCGGUAGAUGCCUCUUUGGAAAAUAUCCAAAUUCUAUAGUGGCUUCCUCUACCAGUUGAGGGGUACGUGGAUGGGUACCAAACGUAUAGUGGAACGCAUACUCCCUGGUCCACAUUUACCGAGACCAUAUAUCAACCGGGAGUCACUCUGCAAAGGUACAAAUAUAGGAACAAGUUCCACUCCCCGGCCCUCAAGUUUGAGGCAAAAUGUUUGUUAUACUUCAUAAAUAGCUAACUACUACCCCCCCAAGAACCUGUCCGAAGUGAACAUCCCUCGAGGGUGCUUAAUCUAAUGUUUCAUAAACAAUGCUCCGUUCGACGUGGCCAGAGUAAUACAUGAUAAGAUGUUCCAACGAGUCAGGGUUCGACGAUAUGGUUUAUACUACCCGUCCCUUGUCACCCGAUUGUGUCUUCAGGAAAAUGUGUCAAGUAACCUUGCUAUAGAUGGUCGAGUUCCUUCGAUACAUCCUUUCAAUGCUGAGGGGGUCACCAAAGGCAAGGAAGUGGUAGCGGCUGAGGAGUUGAUGUGACAAGAUUAUGAUGAUGGUGAAGAGAAGGAGGAGGAGGAACCAUACCAGGUAGCCGAUGAUGUGGAGAUUAUAGGUGAGCAGCCAGCACGACCACAGACUGAGGAUGUUGCAAGCCUGUCUAGGGACAGUCGGGGACAACGAUUAGACAGCUUAGAGCACGAUAUAGCUCGAAUAUGAACUUCGGUGACUAACCUGGGAACUCAUUUUUAUGAAAUGGCAACCCAACAAAAGAAAUCAAAAAGGAUCAUGGAUUGGAUCCGUGCCUUGGGUUGGGCGUGCAAUGUAGACGUCGGCUCUGUCUUCGAUUAGGAUUGAGCUGUCAAGGAAGUUCCCUUUUCCUUAUUCUAUUUUACUUGGCCAUGAGGACAUGUUCUCAUUUUAAGUGUGUGGUCGGGGCUGCGAUUCCCCUGUGUGUUAUAUGUUGUAUAUAUUCAAAUUUUUUUAUUUUUCUUUUUUUUAGGUAUUGUAGUAGCUCCCCAUUGGUUUUUCUUUUCACCGCAGUUCUUUUCCAAAGGUUUAGUUUGAACCGGGUAUAGCUAGCUUCUUCUUUUCUUUUUAGUUGUUAGGAAUCUCUUGGGCGGGGUACUUAAUGAGAAAAAACAACCUUUACAUACCCUAACACCAUGACUCUUCGAGUGUGACGCUUAGGCUCUUUUGGUAACUCUUGUAGAUUGCCUUAAUGGUGCAUGUGUAACUAACUCAAAUGCUUAAUGGAGUGUGUUGAGGAACCAAUUUUGAUUGAAUUAUGUGACAAGUGUGUGUAAGGUUAUCUACAUCUUAUUCUAUGCUUGCAUUUGAUACCUAAAACUUGCCCCGUAUAUGUACAAAUCGAAAUAGAGGCUAGUCCGAGAAGGGAUAUAGGCAUUUCUUUGUAAACACAAAAAAAAUAUGCAUCCACCUUAAUGCAUUUAACCACAGUCAACCCCGUUUGAGCCUAUUAGUCUAUUUCUUUAAUAAAUAUGUGAUGAACCAUACCCUAUUGUUUGAGUAGCUUGUCUGUUUGAACCUUGUACCUCCCAGGAGCACUUAGAUUGUUUGUUGUGAUAUAAAAGUUAAAGUGUGGGGUGUAGGUAUGGUCUAUAAGGAAACACAAGGGAAUAGAGUAAAAGGUCCAAAGUUUUAAAAAAAUAAAAGAGAAAGUUGCACUUAAGAAGACUUGGGGUGAUUAUGAAGCAAAGUGUGGUGAAAAGUCUGUGAACACUGGAAAAUGGGCAGAAUGUCAAUAUAAGUAUAUUAAAAGUGCUUAGGGAGGUUAGUCACUACACCCAAAUGUAUCUUGCAUGUUCUUAGCCUACAUUAUAAACAAGUAAAGACCUAUUGAUCUUGGACUAAAUGAACUCAAUUAAGGGAGUAUUACACUACGGGCAAGCCAUGGCGUAUCUAUGUAGCAUAUGAAUGUUCUUUGUGAGAGUGAGUAAAUUCUUCGUAUUUAAAGUUCCUGUUGUCUGGAAUAUUAUGUUGUGGAACUACUCUCAAGUGUGUGAUGUGAGGGCACGUGAUUCAUGAAAAAGAGGUAAGUCUUGACCUCCCUGCAAAGCAUUUUGAGAAAGUUAAGUAUGGCAUGGCAUGAAAGAUUCGCCAUUUGAGGUAUAGAUUUUACACUGCGAGAGAGAUGCUUGUGGCUCGUUCGCGGGGUGUCAAUGUAGGGAAGCGAUGGAUGAAAAUAAACCUUGUAGGAUAUAGUGGAUUGCUCGAGGACUAGCAAUGAUUUAAGUGUGGGUUGUUGAUAAUAGUCUAAAUUGUAUAGUUUGGCUUACAUUCAAACUCCAACUUAAGGAUGCUUUACUGGUUUAAGUGUGUAAAUAAUGCAAAAAAUUUACUCUAGUGGUGACUUUUGUGUUUCACAUGAGUGAAUACCCAAAUAAAGACUUAUGAUGGUGAUCCGUGCAAAAAUGAUGGACGAAUUAAGGGAAUGAAGCUCGGUAUGGCAGAGGAAAACCUCACUAGCGCGGGCAUUAGCGCAACCUUAGCGUGCCCGCGCUAGUACAGAUGCGGGAAAAUUUAUUUGAAGGGGCAAAUUCGAAAGUCAAAAGCAAAAACCACACAAACUAUAAAUGGUUUAAUGCGUCCAAUAAAAGGGGAGAAUCAGUUUUGAAGGUUGAGAACAAGACAAGAAAGUGCAAGAGGCAAGGAGGCAACUUGGGCAACAAUUCUUAUCUCCCUAUUUUGUUCUUUUAUCAAUGGCUAUGAAUUCUUUUGUAGUUUUCAUCAUUAUUAUGAGUAGCUAACUCAUUUAAUCUAAGUUUUUGGGCGAAACUCGUUGGGGAUGAACUGGUUAUCAUAUUAAUAUAGUAUUGAGUUGGUUGUUAAUCUCUAUUUGUUCAACUACGUUUUGAUUUUGGUUAAUUGAAAGGAUCUUCAACUAGCCGUAUUUAUUAUAUAUCUGCUUGAGAGAGAGAGUGCAUAUAUAGGUAGUUGUUUGAACAACAUCACUCCCGGAGUAUAGGCCAGAGUAAUAACCAAAGGUUUAGAGGUUCGAUUAGAGAUAACAAUACCUCGGGUGCGAUCUAAGUGAACUGUAAUGCGAAUCUAGCUAGCGUAGCUUGAGAGAGUGCGCCUAGUAAAUUAUUACAAUUUCUUGAGAGAGAUUUAUGAUAGGUGGAGAGUUCAUGACUGAUAGAGGAAACUAAAUCAAAGCUAUAAGAAACAUACAACUAAGGAAAUCAACAACGAAAGAAACCAUUACCUUAAAAUUUUAUUCUAAUUGUUUACAACUGUGUGUUAGUUAAUCUUUGUUUUAUUGAUUCUGUUAGAUGUAGUAGUAAUCAUAAUACCACUUGUUAUUCACAAAGUUUGAGGAGGUUGACUAAUAAGAACUUAGUACUUUAAAGACUUCUGUUGACACGUUAAUUUCUUGUGGGAUUCGACUCGAGGCAUAAUACCGCCGGAUUAUAUUUGUAACGCCUGCUUAGUCUUUUAAUAGAUACAGUUGAGCGUGAUCAGAAAGCAAAGUUCAAACUGAGUAAUCUAGUCGUAAUUUAUGUGGCGAUCUAUGAAUUUCGAGAGUCAAAUGAGUUUAUUUAAUUGUGAACUCGGACAUAGCAUUUUAAAAAAUGUAAAAAGUAAUGUAGAUAAUAUUAAUUAACAAUUCAAAAUAUUUAAAACGAUUGUGAUUAAAGAUAAACUUGUUGCCCUCAAAUACGAACACUACCACAUGAACAAUAGAGUCAUAUAACACUUCGAGUAUCUUUGCGAUAACUAAUAUGUUUCAUAACGGUGGUGUUCGGAGAGCAAACAGACGCCUCGACUAAUCCAUUAAAUAUCUAUUAUUUUUCACAAAUACAAGAACCCGACCGGAUUUCAUAGAGAAAAUUAUUUAGAUGGGCGAGUAGUCAAAAUGUAGUAUUUUUAAGGUGCAUUUGGUAAUUCACUCUAAAUAACACUUCUCUUUUCUACAGCCGACACGUUACGAAAAUAUAAAGCUGCUUGCCAAAAUUAACUUGUGACGUCUCCCCUAUUUGACUUCAAUAACAAGUCACAAUAAUUGUUUAUUAUCAACAAACUUUUGGAUGGCCUAUUCUUUUGGUUUUUGUUUUCUGGUAAUUGUCAUGCCGUUAAGAAAAGGUAAAGGUAAAGAAAUGGUCUUACCCUUUUGUCCCUGUCGAAACUUCUAAACAUACAAUUUAUAAAUUAAUCAAUUUUCCUUUACUUAUGAAUGAAACCUAUCAACCAAUCAUAUGAAGAAUACCAUAACAAUCGACCAAUCGCAUAUGUAAAAUAGGUAAUCAAUUAAAAAUCAUGAGAAAUUAGUAUUUAAAUCUUAGCAAAAAUUUAAAAAAGAAUUAAGUGAGUGAUUUUCUUUCAUUUAUUAAGUUGUGGCGAAUAAAUCUACUUGAUAUUUAUAUUGGUGAAAUGAAAAUUAUCCAAGAUUAUCCGAAGAGGCUCCAACAUUAUUAUCAUAAAAUAAUAGUGUGCGUCAAUUCCAAACAAAUAGAUAAUCUACUAGAAUCUAUAUCUAUACUUAUAAAAAAGAAAAAAAUGCACCAAUCAAUUUCCAGCAACACAUAAAAAAAGAAAAAAGCUAUACUUUUUGUUCCUUCAACCUUUUCUGUUCUACAAUUGAAAUAGAAAAACAGAGCUCCCAAUACAGAGUUAUCAAUCGUCUAAUAAUUGAAUUAUACAAAAAAAUGCAUAACAGGAAGCCAGAAAUGAUAAAUCAAUUACCCCAAAUAAAAGAAGAAGAAGAUAAACUUCCAAAAAAAAAUAUCAUACAAAUUCAUUUUUUACUCUGAUAUUUCCUACAAAUCCGUCAAAAUUUUACUGCCUCUUGUAAACACUCGAGAAUUCGCCGAAAUUUGACUUAUCUGUGAGCAGUAACCAGCGUCUCAAUAAAUCUUAAUCCAUCAAAUUUUGGAGCAAAUUUAUCUGAAGAUGGAGGUGCUGACACUGACUUUGAAGAUUUUCCGUCCUUCUUCUUCAAACUAUCAUCCUGAAUUAUUUAUUUUUUCCAAAAUUAUACUAAAAUCAAUGUAUAUGUUAAAUAGUUAAAAUUAUACUAAAAUCUAAAUCAUAUUGAGAACUUGUGUCUUACCACGAAUUAUUCGCAAUAUCAAUAAAAUUCAACCGUUUAUAUAUAACAAAUAAAAUUAAAUUUAAUCGUAUUUGCAAUUUCAAAGUUAGCUUUUUAAAAACGGGUUCAUUAAACCUCCUUUCCUAGUGGCAGAGCUAAAAAAUUUGCGAAAGAGGUUCAUUAUAUAUUUACAAAAAAAAUAAUUUUUAACCUAUAUACAUAGUAUAAUUUUCUAUGCACUCCUUUCCUCUUACUAGCUCCAUCAAUUUUAAUCUACUGAUUUGAAAUUAUAGAUCUGUUUCAGAAUUCAAGUCAAUAGAAACGGGAGAGAACAGAGAACGGAAUUUUCACCUGAUGACGAGAAAUUCGAACUUUAGAUGAAGAAGAAAUAGCAGUAGCAGAAGCUGCAGUUACAGAAGCAAUUAAAAUUCCUGAUUUCUUCAUUUGAGAGGAAGGGAAAUUUUUGGGGGGAUUUUUUAGUGAUGAGAAUGAGGAAUGCGAAAAGGGAGGAAAAUUAUUGGUGGAAUUUAUAGGAAGGAGAAUUG